CCUACGGGUGGCAGCAGUGAGGAAUAUUGGUCAAUGGACGAGAGUCUGAACCAGCCAAGUAGCGUGAAGGAUGACUGCCCUAUGGGUUGUAAACUUCUUUUAUAUGGGAAUAAAAUGUUCCACGUGUGGGAUUUUGUAUGUACCAUAUGAAUAAGGAUCGGCUAACUCCGUGCCAGCAGCCGCGGUAAUACGGAGGAUCCGAGCGUUAUCCGGUUUUAUUGGGUUUAAAGGGAGCGUAGGUGGAUUGUUAAGUUAGUUGUGAAAGUUUGCGGCUCAACCGUAAAAUUGCAGUUGAAACUGGCAGUCUUGAGUACAGUAGAGGUGGGCGGAAUUCGUGGUGGAGCGGUGAAAUGCUUAGAGAUCACGAAGAACACCGAUUGCGAAGGCAGUUCACUGGACUGCAACUGACACUGAGGCUCGAAAGUGUGGGUAUCAAACAGGAUUAGAUACCCGAGUAGUC
rnacentral:rRNA from 1 species